rnacentral:tRNA from 1 species
GCCGACGUGGCGGAAUUGGUAGACGCGUCGGAUUCAAAAUCCGAUGAUGGCAACAUUGUGCGAGUUCGAGUCUCGCCGUCGGUACCA